UAGGGAAUAUUAGAAAUGGACGAAAGUCUGAUCUAGCAACACCGCGUGUGCGAAGAAGGCCUUCGGGUCGUAAAGCACUUUUUGGAGGGAAUAGGAAGGAUUGUACUUCCAGAAUAAGUCUCGGCUAACUACGUGCCAGCAGCCGCGGUAACACGUAGGAGGCGAACGUUAUCCGGAUUUACUGGGCGUAAAGCGCGUGUAGGUGGUACUGUAAGUAGGGCGUGAAAGCUCCUGGCUCAACUGGGAGAGGCCGUUCUAAACUACAGAACUAGAGGAUGGUAGAGGGAGGUGGAAUUCCAGGUGUAGCGGUGGAAUGCGCAGAUAUCUGGAGGAACACCGGUGGCGAAGGCGGCCUCCUGGACCAUUCCUGACACUCAGACGCGAAAGCUAGGUUAGCAAACCG
rnacentral:rRNA from 1 species